AUAGGCUUACGGCCACACCGGUUCUCGUACGUUCACCGAAGUUAAGCAACGUCGAGCCUGGUCAGUACCUAGAUAGUUGACCGGUUGGAAAUAACAGGUGUUGUA
rnacentral:rRNA from 1 species